rnacentral:rRNA from 1 species
UACGUAGGGUGCGAGCGUUAAUCGGAAUUACUGGGCGUAAAGCGUGCGCAGGCGGUUUUGUAAGCCAGAUGUGAAAUCCCAGGGCUCAACCUUGGAACUGCAUUUGUGACUGCAUAGCUAGAGUACGGUAGAGGGGGAUGGAAUUCCGCGUGUAGCAGUGAAAUGCGUAGAUAUGCGGAGGAACACCGAUGGCGAAGGCAAUCCCCUGGACCUGUACUGACGCUCAUGCACGAAAGCGUGGGGAGCAAACAGG